UAGUCGGAAUCUCGACGUGCUGGCAUGAUGAGCGUGAAAAGACCAAUUGGUGCUGUAGCGGUGAAUGUGAUCUUCAGGUUCCGGAUCCACGUCGAGAUUCACCGCUACAGCACCAAUCGGACUGUUCUACGCUCAUCAUGGUCAGUUCUCAUCUGUUUGACUA